GCUGGGCAUGGUGGCGCACACCUGUAAUCCCAGAAGCUUGGGAGGCAGAGGCAGGAGGAUUGCAAGUUGGAGGCCGGCCUCAGCAACUUAGCAAGGCCAUUAAGCAACUCAGUAAGGCCUUGUCUCUA
rnacentral:sRNA from 1 species